GUGAACGCUGGCGGCAGGCCUAAUACAUGCAAGUCGAACGGCAGCACAGUGGAGCUUGCUCCAUGGGUGGCGAGUGGCGGACGGGUGAGGAAUACAUGGGAAUCUGCCCAGUCGUGGGGGAUAACGUAGGGAAACUUACGCCAAUACCGCAUGCGCCCUUCGGGGGAAAGCCGGGGACCUUCGGGCCUGGCGCGAUUGGAUGAGCCCAUGUUCGAUUAGCUAGUUGGCGGGGUAAAGGCCCACCAAGGCGACGAUCGAUAGCUGGUCUGAGAGGAUGAUCAGCCACACUGGGACUGAGACACGGCCCAGACUCCUACGGGAGGCAGCAGUAGGGAAUAUUGGACAAUGGGCGCAAGCCUGAUCCAGCCAUGCCGCGUGAGUGAAGAAGGCCCUCGGGUUGUAAAGCUCUUUUGUCCGGGAAGAAAAGCAUCGGGCUAAUACCUCGGUGUUCUGACGGUACCGGAAGAAUAAGCACCGGCUAACUUCGUG
rnacentral:rRNA from 1 species